GUCCACGCCCUAAACGAUGUCAACUAGCCGUAGGGUUCAUUAUAGGACUUUGUGGCGCAGCUAACGCGAUAAGUUGACCGCCUGGGGAGUACGGCCGCAAGGUUAAAACUCAAAGGAAUUGACGGGGGCCCGCACAAGCGGUGGAGCAUGUGGUUUAAUUCGAUGCAACGCGAAGAACCUUACCAGGCCUUGACAUCUAGCGAACUUUCCAGAGAUGGAUUGGUGCCUUCGGGAACGCUAAGA
rnacentral:rRNA from 1 species